rnacentral:rRNA from 1 species
GAUGAACGCUAGCGGCAGGCUUAAUACAUGCAAGUCGUGGGGCAGCAGGGGUGUAGCAAUACAUCUGCUGGCGACCGGCAAACGGGUGCGUAACACGUACGCAACCUUCCCGUUACUGUGGCAUAGCCCAGGGAAACUUGGAUUAAUACCACAUAUUAUACAGAGAGGGCAUCCUUUUUAUAUCAAAGCUUCGGCGGUAACGGAUGGGCGUGCGGUUGAUUAGGUAGUUGGCGGGGUAACGGCCCACCAAGCCUACGAUCAAUAGCUGAUGUGAGAGCAUGAUCAGCCACACGGGCACUGAGACACGGGCCCGACUCCUACGGGAGGCAGCAGUAAGGAAUAUUGGGCAAUAGACGAAAGUCUGACCCAGCCAUGCCGCGUGAAGGAUUAAGGUCCUCUGGAUUGUAAACUUCUUUUCUCUGGGGCGAAAACCAGCUAUUCUUAGCUAUUUGACAGUACCAGAGGAAUAAGCACCGGCUAACUCCGUGCCAGCAGCCGCAGUAAAAC